AGUGAACGCUGGCGGUAGGCCUAACACAUGCAAGUCGAACGGCAGCACAGUAAGAGCUUGCUCUUACGGGUGGCGAGUGGCGGACGGGUGAGGAAUACAUCGGAAUCUACUUUUUCGUGGGGGAUAACGUAGGUAAACUUACGCUAAUACCGCAUACGCCCUACGGUUGAAAGCAGGGGAUCUUCGGACCUUGCGCGAUUGAAUGAGCCGAUGUCGGAUUAGCUAGUUGGCGGGGUAAAGGCCCACCAAGGCGACGAUCCGUAGCUGGUCUGAGAGGAUGAUCAGCCACACGGGAACUGAGACACGGUCCAGACUACUAAGGGAGGCAGCAGUGGGGAAUAUUGGACAAUGGGCGCAAGCCUGAUCCAGCCAUACCGCGUGGGUGAAGAAGGCCUUCGGGUUGUAAAGCCCUUUUGUUGGGAAAGAAAAGCAGCAGGUUAAGACCCCGCUGUUCUGACGGUACCCAAAGAAUAAGCACCGGCUAACUUCGUG
rnacentral:rRNA from 1 species